UGGGGAAUAUUGGACAAUGGGCGAAAGCCUGAUCCAGCAAUGCCGCGUGUGUGAAGAAGGCCUAAGGGUUGUAAAGCACUUUCAUUAGGGAGGAAGUUGUUUAGGUUAAGAGCUAAAGCAAUUGACGUUACCUAAAAAGAAGCACCGGCUAACUCUGUGCCAGCAGCCGCGGUAAUACAGAGGGUGCAAGCGUUAAUCGGAAUUACUGGGCGUAAAGCGUGCGUAGGCGGAAUACUAAGUCAGAUGUGAAAUCCCUGGGCUCAACCUAGGAAUGGCAUUUGAAACUGGUAAUCUAGAGCAGAAAAGAGGAGAGUAGAAUUUCAGGUGUAGCGGUGAAAUGCGUAGAUAUC
rnacentral:rRNA from 1 species